UACGUAGGUGGCAAGCGUUAUCCGGAUUUACUGGGUGUAAAGGGCGUGUAGGCGGGACUACAAGUCAGAUGUGAAAAUUAUGGGCUCAACCCAUAACCUGCAUUUGAAACUGUAGUUCUUGAGUGAUGGAGAGGCAGGCGGAAUUCCGUGUGUAGCGGUGAAAUGCGUAGAUAUACGGAGGAACACCAGUGGCGAAGGCGGCCUGCUGGACAUUAACUGACGCUGAGGCGCGAAAGCGUGGGGAGCAAACAGG
rnacentral:rRNA from 1 species